UCAUUAUCCCGUCCGCUGCGAUUGGCAUGGAUAUCCCUUCACUGGUAGCCUGGUAACAUACACUCCCAGGUCUUUCUCUGCCUCUGUGGUGGAUAGUGGAGUGUUUCCCAUGUGGUAUUGGUGUGCUGGAUAUCCCUUCACUGGUAGCCUGGUAACAUACACUCCCAGGUCUUUCUCUGCCUCUGUGGUGGAUAGUGGAGUGUUUCCCAUGUGGUAUUGGUGUGCUGGAUAUCCCUUCACUGGUAGCUUGGUAACAUACACUCCCAGGUCUUUCUCUGCCUCUGUGGUGGAUAGUGGAGUGUUUCCCAUGUGGUAUUGGUGUGCUGGAUAUCCCUUCACUGGUAGCCUGGUAACAUACACUCCCAGGUCUUUCUCUGCCUCUGUGGUGGAUAGUGGAGUGUUUCCCAUGUGGUAUUGGUGUGCUGGAUAUCCCUUCACUGGUAGCCUGGUAACAUACACUCCCAGGUCUUUCUCUGCCUCUGUGGUGGAUAGUGGAGUGUUUCCCAUGUGGUAUUGGUGUGCUGGAUUUCCCUUCACUGGUAGCCUGGUAACACACACUCCCAGGUCUUUCUCUGCCUCUGUGGUGGAUAGUGGAGUGUUUCCCAUGUGGUAUUGGUGUGCUGGAUAUCCCUUCACUGGUAGCCUGGUAACAUACACUCCCAGGUCUUUCUCUGCCUCUGUGGUGGAUAGUGGAGUGUUUCCCAUGUGGUAUUGGUGUGCUGGAUAUCCCUUCACUGGUAGCCUGGUAACAUACACUCCCAGGUCUUUCUCUGCCUCUGUGGUGGAUAGUGGAGUGUUUCCCAUGUGGUAUUGGUGUGCUGGAUAUCCCUUCCCUGGUAGCCUGGUAACAUACACUCCCAGGUCUUUCUCUGCCUCUGUGGUGGAUAGUGGAGUGUUUCCCAUGUGGUAUUGGUAUGCUGGAUUUCCCUUCACUGGUAGCCUGGUAACAUACACUCCCAGGUCU